rnacentral:rRNA from 1 species
UACGAAGGGGGCUAGCGUUGCUCGGAAUCACUGGGCGUAAAGCGCACGUAGGCGGAUUGUUAAGUCAGGGGUGAAAUCCUGGAGCUCAACUCCAGAACUGCCUUUGAUACUGGCGAUCUCGAGUCCGGGAGAGGUGAGUGGAACUGCGAGUGUAGAGGUGAAAUUCGUAGAUAUUCGCAAGAACACCAGUGGCGAAGGCGGCUCACUGGACCGGUACUGACGCUGAGACGCGAAAGCCAGGGGAGCAAACGGG